CCUACGGGAGGCAGCAGUGAGGAAUAUUGGUCAAUGGACGAGAGUCUGAACCAGCCAAGUAGCGUGAAGGAUGACUGCCCUAUGGGUUGUAAACUUCUUUUAUAUGGGAAUAAAAUGUUCCACGUGUGGGAUUUUGUAUGUACCAUAUGUAUAAGGAUCGGCUAACUCCGUGCCAGCAGCCGCGGUAAUACGGAGGAUCCGAGCGUUAUCCGGAUUUUUUGGGUUUAAAGGGAGCGUAGGUGGAUUGUUAAGUCAGUUGUGAAAGUUUGCGGCUCAAACGUAAAAUUGCAGUUGAAACUGGCAGUCUUGAGUACAGUAGAGGUGGGCGGAAUUCGUGGUGUAGCGGUGAAAUGCUUAGAUAUCACGAAGAACUCCGAUUGCGAAGGCAGCUCACUGGACUGCAACUGACACUGAGGCUCGAAAGUGUGGGUAUCAAACAGGAUUAGAUACCCGAGUAGUC
rnacentral:rRNA from 1 species